UGGUGACGCAGGAAGGUAGCUGAUCCCGGCCGGUGGUUGUGCCGGGGUAAGCGUGUAGGCCGGUGUGUAGGCAAAUCCGCACACCAUGAAGGCUGAGACGUGAUGCCGAGCCGAUUCAGGUGAAGUCAGUGAUCCUAUGCUGCCGAGGAAAGCCUCUAGCGAGUUCUUAGCGGCCCGUACCCCAAACCGACACAGGUGGUCAGGUAGAGAAUACCAAGGCGACGGGCGAACUGUGGUUAAGGAACUCGGCAAAUUACCCCCGUAACUUCGGGAGAAGGGGGGCCGGACACGUGAAGCAACACGCUUGUGGAGCGUGGUAUGGCCGCAGAGACCAGGGGGAAGCGACUGUUUACUAAAAACACAGGUCCAUGCGAAGAAGUAAUUCGAUGUAUAUGGACUGACGCCUGCCCGGUGCUGGAACGUUAAGGGGACCUGUUAGCUCUUCGGGGCGAGGCGGAGAACUUAAGCGCCAGUAAACGGCGGUGGUAACUAUAACCAUCCUAAGGUAGCGAAAUUCCUUGUCGGGUAAGUUCCGACCUGCACGAAUGGCGUAACGACUUCCCUACUGUCUCAACCACAGGCCCGGCGAAAUUGCAGUACGAGUAAAGAUGCUCGUUACGCGCGGCAGGACGGAAAGACCCCGGGACCUUUACUAUAGCUUGACAUUGGUAUCUGAGUUAAUUUGUGUAGGAUAGGUGGGAGCCUGUGAAGCUCGUACGCCAGUACGGGUGGAGGCAAUCUUGAAAUACCACUCUGGUUGAUUCGGGUAUCUAACUUCGGACCGUGAUCCGGUUCAGGGACAGUGUCUGGUGGGUAGUUUAACUGGGGCGGUUGCCUCCUAAAGAGUAACGGAGGCGCCCAAAGGUUCCCUCAGCCUGGUUGGCAAUCAGGUGUUGAGUGUAAGUGCACAAGGGAGCUUGACUGUGAGACUGACAGGUCGAGCAGGGACGAAAGUCGGGACUAGUGAUCCGGCACCGGCAUGUGGAAGCGGUGUCGCUCAACGGAUAAAAGGUACCCCGGGGAUAACAGGCUGAUCUUCCCCAAGAGUCCAUAUCGACGGGAUGGUUUGGCACCUCGAUGUCGGCUCGUCGCAUCCUGGGGCUGUAGCAGGUCCCAAGGGUUGGGCUGUUCGCCCAUUAAAGCGGUACGCGAGCUGGGUUUAGAACGUCGUGAGACAGUUCGGUCCCUAUCCGCCGUGCGCGUAGGAUACUUGAGAAGGGCUGUCCCUAGUACGAGAGGACCGGGACGGACGAACCUCUGGUGUGCCAGUUGUCCCGCCAGGGGCACGGCUGGUUAGCUACGUUCGGAAGGGAUAACCGCUGAAAGCAUCUAAGCGGGAAGCUCGCUUCAAGAUGAGGUAUCCCACCCACACUUGUGUGGGGUAAGGCCCCCAGCUAGACCACUGGGUUGAUAGGCAGGAAAUGUAAGCCCGGUAACGGGUUCAGUUGACCUGUACUAAUAGGCCAAGGACUUGACCC
rnacentral:rRNA from 1 species